GGCGGUUUGUCGCGUCUGCUGUGAAAGCCCGGGGCUCAACCCCGGGUCUGCAGUGGGUACGGGCAGACUAGAGUGCAGUAGGGGAGACUGGAAUUCCUGGUGUAGCGGUGAAAUGCGCAGAUAUCAGGAGGAACACCGAUGGCGAAGGCAGGUCUCUGGGCUGUUACUGACGCUGAGGAGCGAAAGCAUGGGGAGCGAACAGGAUUAGAUACCCUGGUAGUCCAUGCCGUAAACGUUGGGCACUAGGUGUGGGGGACAUUCCACGUUCUCCGCGCCGUAGCUAACGCAUUAAGUGCCCCGCCUGGGGAGUACGGCCGCAAGGCUAAAACUCAAAGGAAUUGACGGGGGCCCGCACAAGCGGCGGAGCAUGCGGAUUAAUUCGAUGCAACGCGAAGAACCUUACCAAGGCUUGACAUUCACCGGACCGCCCCAGAGAUGGGGUUUCCCUUCGGGGCCGGUGGGCAGGUGGUGCAUGGUUGUCGUCAGCUCGUGUCGUGAGAUGUUGGGUUAAGUCCCGCAACGAGCGCAACCCUCGUUCUAUGUUGCCAGCACGUGAUGGUGGGGACUCAUAGGAGACUGCCGGGGUCAACUCGGAGGAAGGUGGGGAUGACGUCAAAUCAUCAUGCCCCUUAUGUCUUGGGCUUCACGCAUGCUACAAUGGCCGGUACAAAGGGUUGCGAUACUGUGAGGUGGAGCUAAUCCCAAAAAGCCGGUCUCAGUUCGGAUUGAGGUCUGCAACUCGACCUCAUGAAGUCGGAGUCGCUAGU
rnacentral:rRNA from 1 species